GAUGAACGCUGGCGGCGUGCUUAACACAUGCAAGUCGAACGAUGACCCGGUGCUUGCACCGGUGAUUAGUGGCGAACGGGUGAGUAACACGUGAGUAACCUGCCCUUAACUCUGGGAUAAGCCUGGGAAACCGGGUCUAAUACCGGAUAUGACCUCCUGCCGCAUGGUGGGGGGUGAAAGUCUUUUUUGUGGUUUUGGAUGGACUCGCGGCCUAUCAGCUUGUUGGUGAGGUAAUGGCNCACCAAGGCGACGAUCAGUAGCUGGUCUGAGAGGAUGAUCAGCCACACUGGGACU
rnacentral:rRNA from 1 species